CCACUAGCGGUAGCGGAGGCGGCAGCGACGGCGGCGGCACGCCCCGGAGCAUUGUGGGAAUGGCGUCCCCGGCCCCGCCCCGCCGGCAGAUGAGUUGAGUGUGUGCCUGUGACAGCCUACUGUGGAGAUCACAAGUCAACGUUGCAGGCAUCAGCUCUCUCUACUAUGAGGGUCCCAGGGGAUCAGACUUGGAAAGGAUCCCAUGCAUCCCAGGUUGGCAGUGCAACAGAAGAUGACUUUGAACUUAUCUGAUCUGUCUGCUUCCGCCUCCCCAGUUCUGGGAUGUUUCUGCAGCACUGGGCAUCAAGCCCAGGGUUUCGUGCUUGCUAUGUAAGCACUCUUCUGCCUGAGUCCUAUCUCUAGACCCCAUUAAGGAUUUUUUUUUCUAAAAAAAAAAGAAGAUUAAAUGAAACAAUAUGAGUUUUUGCCUGGAACUUAAUAGCUAAUCAACAAAUGUUAGUAGGAAGAAUUGGACUGA